rnacentral:rRNA from 1 species
GAUGAACGCUGGCGGCGUGCCUAAUACAUGCAAGUCGAGCGAACAGACGAGGAGCUUGCUCCUCUGACGUUAGCGGCGCACGGGUGAGUCACACGUGGAUAACCUACUUAUAAGACUGGGAUAUCUUCGGGAAACCGGCGCUAAUACCGUAUAAUAUAUUGCACCGCAUUGUUCAAUAGUGAAAGACGGUUUUGCUGUCACUUAUAGAUGGAUCCGCGCGGCAUUAGCUAGUUGGUAAGUUAACGGCUUUCCAAGGCGACGAUGCGUGGCCGACCUGAGAGGCGGGUAGCCGGCAUGGGAGCUGAGACACGGACCAGAGUCCUAAGGGAGGCAGCAGUAGGGAAUCUGCCGCAAUGGGCGAAAGCCUGACGGAGCAACGCCGCGUGAGUGGUGAAGGUCUUCGGAGCGUAAAACUCUGUUAUUGGGUAAGAACAAAUGUGGCAGGAACUAUGCACUUCUUGACGGUACCUAAUCAGAAAGCAACGGCUAACUACGUG